UGUACUAACCGGAAGGAUAAAGGCAGUAGAAAGAAGUUUUUUUAGAAUCCCUGCGGAACCAGGACGAAGGGCUGCAUGGCUUAGAGCCUUAAAAAGGUCAGAUUUUGAGCAGGGAAAGAAAAACCCGACCGCGGCGUGGACACCACGAGGCCACGAGAGAGUGUGCAGCGACCAUUUCAUCUCAGGGAACCCUUCUAAAGACCCUGCAGAUCCAGAUUACGUCCCAAGCUUGUUUAACCUCCCAACCUCAGCAAGUUGCAAUCGUUCAAGAAACCCAGUUGCCAAGAAAGAUCGGUAUAUGCGUGCAGCAAAAAGGCUGCGGGUGUCAUCAGAGAAUGAAGCCCCACCUACAUCACUAAAUGAUGAAGAAAUGAUCGCUGACCCUCCUCCUGAAAGUGUAGAGACUCUGAGAGACCCCCUUCCUGAAAGUGUAGAGACUCUGAGAGAACAGCUCACAAAAGUACAAGAGGAGAAAUGUAAGUUGGAACAGUUUUGCGAGUCCCUUCAAAGUGAAGCUGACAACCUUAGGGAAGAACGUGAUCACCUUCAAGAACAAAUCAAGAAAUCAUCAACAUCAGCCUCCAAUCUCACAGAUGCAAAAUGCAAGCUCUUCACUGGAAUACCUACUGUUGCACUGUUUAUGUUUGUGUUUAGACUUGUUAGUGAUUUCAUUGCUCCUCUAAAGUCCAUGUGUCAGCAGGAUCAAAUACUCAUGACUCUCAUGAAGUUGAGACUAGGCCUCAAAAAUGCUGAUCUAGCUUUGAGAUUUAGUGUUUCUGCCUCCACAGUUUCAAAAGUCAUAAACCGUUGUA